AUUCUUCGGUCAGAUAGACUCUUCCGUCUUCGAAGCGAUAAAGUUACACUCGUAUCUCGUAUCGUUCCUUCCAUUUAUGAAGAUAAUCUAAGUUAAUUUUGAGGAAUUCAAUUCGAUAUUCUUCGUUCUUCGAGUGGCGAGGUUAGUUUCUAGUAAUUUUACGGGUAUAAAAUAAAAUUCGGCGAGAGAGUUGAAAAGAAACGGGUUGUCUGUCGAUACGAAGGGUCGUGCCCCUUUAAGGUUGCUCAGUUCGCACGUUUCGUUAAACGAAUGGAAAAGUACGCGCGACAACGAUAGAGAACCUAUUUCUAAUCCUAACGACAGUUCUGGCUAAUGCUAUAUCUCGAUCAACGUGACGACGGGUGAAACAAUAGAGAAACUACUUCAAAUUUUUAAAAAUGUUCCAUUAGAGUCGUACCACGAUCAGUAUGACAGUGACAGAAGCUUGCUUCAAAUCCUAAAAAAAAGUAUUAGUCAAUGUCACGCCUUGAUUACUAUGAUCACGGCAGAAAAUUAAUUUAGGAACCUAACGAGACUAUUAAUCAAUGUCAUUCGUUCAUUAGAGCGAGAAUAACGCGUAACAAUAAUAAAAACGUUACUUCAAAUCCUAAAAAUGAUAAAGUAUUAAUCACAGUAAAUUCUUAAUAGAAAGCGUUGCAUUCGUUUUUUCUUUCACGAUGGAAUUUCUUGAAAGUAAUUUCUAUCGGAAGCCAUCGAUCGUAACGUCGUAACUGAAAUUCGUGUCGACGGCAGCUUUAUUAUCGGUUACAAUUAUUUGCACGUAACGCGCGUGCAACGACGCUCAUAUUCCGUGUUUCAUCGUCUCCGUGCCAUUGAAUUUAUCGCUACCGUUAUACACCUUUCGACUGGAUCCCCGCCUCUCGUCGUGUCCGUUUGAGUUAAAGCGCCGCUCGAACCGAGUACAAGCGAAGACUACACCGAACACUCUCCUCGCUCUCUUCGGGCUCGACACGAGUCGCUGCAUUUUCAGAACGGUACUCCUAACUGUAUCUUACAUACGUAUACAUGUACAUGUGUAUAUACGUCUGUUUCUACUCACCUGUCGGCAUCGCGACCAAGCACCCGCGCAUACCGAUCGGAGAACAAGGGAAAACGACCGCGUCGAUGACCCUAGACGAGAUGACGAAUUCUUUGAGUAGAAAUUAUCCAUCGGCUCCCAUGGAAUUCGAGGGAACCAAACAAAUCUUUAAUUCACACGUCUUCAUGCGUUGUAUAGAUAUUGGAACACGAUUCUUAACAUCUGGAUCAUUGACAACUAAGGUGUAAAGUUCGUAUCAAAGAAAUUAAAAUUGAAGGUUUACGAAGAAGAUAAAGUUUUAUCCAUGUUUUUCUAUAAAAGUAUUAUUCAAAUCUCCAAAGCUUGCAUUGUUAUAAAUAUGCGAAAUUUCGAUGAAAAAUGAUAAACUAUACUCUGGUAGACCUAGUACUAAAUUCAUAUCUUAUGACGUCACGAAUUUGAUAAUAUUCUUGAAAACCAUCUUAUCUUUUUUGCAUGUGCGAUUCGACGAUUGGAACCUCGUUGUUGGAGAAAUUUGAUGAAUCGCAAGUUACAAGCUAGCAGUGAAUCCUUUGUGCGACCAAGAUUUUCUCAUUACGUCGACCCGGUACUAAUUUAUUCGUACACGAUGGGCAAUCAGGGAGGAAACGGUUAGUCAUCGUUCAACGAUCCUUCGUUGAAUGAGACGCGACGAGUCAGCUUUGAAACAAGAAUCCCGCUUCAAUGAGCUACACGAAGCGAAACACGGACCAGAGAGAAACGUCGAAGGAGUGGAGAGAAAAAAGAACGAAAAAAGAAGGAGAGAGAGGACAUACGAUGAAAGGGGGAGAAGUUCUCGGCUGGCUCGAGUCAAACAACGUGUAGCGGAUCUUCUACGCGGGUAUACACGUAAGUACGUACGUGCGGAUCGCGUGUAGGGAUACUCACGUAAUGUAGGCCCGUUGCCGGAGAUACCGUAAGACCUUGCUGUUACGUCACUAGAAGCCGCGUGAUUAGGAGAAAAAGGAUACCGGCGAGAGGGGAGAGAAGGAAACGGAAACUCUGUCCUCGGGAUGCGCACGCUGAGUGCCGUCUAUUCUUGGAAAUUCGUCGGUGCAAUGUUUCCUUAGCCCUUCAAAUGGCUUUUUUUCUUUUUUCUUUUUACUUUUUCGUUGCCUUUUAACCUAUUAACCAUAAGACGAGUUACUGGGAAUAUAAAUUUCUCCGAAUUGUACUCGAUUCAAAGACUCCCCAGGUUUUUUAUUUAUUGUUUUAUUUGUGUAUUUUGAGCUCCUUAAUUAUGAAGUAGAAUAUUAUUAAAUUAAUUGUAGAAUUAUAGAUCAGUCUUACUUCAUUUGUAAACAGUUUCUCCACGUUUCUAAAUGUUAAAAUGGUUAAUAACGGAAAUGGAAUAAAUCGUUUACUUGAAAGAUUACAAUUUCUGAUUGUUAAAUGGAUUGAGAAUGGAAGAAUUAAGUAGUAACUUUGAAUAGAUCCUUUUAAUAAUUUUGAAAUAAAUGCGAGAUUGUCUGUUUUUCAAGAUGCAGUUUUCCAGAUUUGUUGAGUUUUCCAGGCUUAAAAAAUAAUCCUAUAAUGCCAGACUAAGUGGAAUCGGAGUCUUUUAAUGGCUGCAAAAUAGUCCCAAUUAACAGAAUUACAACAGAACUGUAGUUCCAGGCAGUUUGGGAGAUAGCAUGCGGGAAUCGAAAGUGAUUAUGCAGCUGUUCCACGCUGAAAUGUUUCUAAAAUAAGAGACGUAUGUGUGAAGUUAUAAUUACGUGUCUGUAAAAGUUGCUUAUAAAUUUUGAUGUGCGAAAUGGGCUAAAUGAUCUUCAGUUGAUCUCUUCGGUCAAACAAAUCUAGCCGUGCUAAAUGAGACAAUAUGCCACUUUUAUACAAGCUCUCAUACUUACGAACUUUAAUUUUACUCUCAUUUUUUCUAAUUCUGUACUAUUUUUAACAAACAUUCUUUUGCCUGAUGCGUUCUAUGCGUUGAUACUGUCAAAGAUUUACUUUAUCAUAUCGCUAUUUGUCAGUGUAAAUAAAUAGAAUUUUCACGACAUUUUCACGAUGUAACGAAAAGUCGAUGAAAACGUCUCCAAAAGAAGUUUCAUUUCUUUCGACGAAACUGGUAAACGAUGCGUCUCGUGUUCGCCGGAGAUUUCGUAAGAGCUGACGUUUAUUUCGUCACGUAAGUACUUACGAUGACUGUUGAGGCUUCACGUGAAAUCAUCAGCCCUUCGAAACUCCCCUCCCUCAUUUUCCUUCUCUUCCACGGAACCUCCGUCACCGACACGGUCUGCGUCCACGUGUUUCUAUCUGCGGUCAGUGCACCUUGCUGCACGAACCACGGCCAUUUACCGAAGGUCCACGUAACGCGACCGUGCUUAAUAAUCUUUUCUCCCAAGGAUCGUCAACCUUGCCGAUAGAGAUGGAGAAAACGAUAGGGAAUAGACGGGAUCAAGAGGUUGAUACUCAAAGUCCAUGGACCUUCUUCAGGGUGUCUAACCGUCUGACAGAGUGAUUAAUCAAACUAAGCUUUCUUCCACGAGCAUUAGAGCGUGUUACAUAAUUUCCUAUUAAUUUGAUAAUUACAAGCUACCUCGCUUCCGAAAUAUGUAGCGCCAUUAGAUAAUUUUAGAGAAUAUAAUUAACCCCUUAAUGCUCGAAUUUCUUCUUUUUGCUUUCUCGUUUUUUUCUUUCUACUCUACCGGUAAAGAAUGAUUAACUAUUUUAUUGCAGAAAACCAUUUAUCUAAUUAAAAGUUCAUAAAUACAUGAAUCAAUCAAUAUUUUUCGAAACGAUGGACGAUAUUACGUAUGCCUUUUAAGAAGCUGAUUUUUAUUUAGUUUGAAUUCUUCUAAUUUUUAUUGAAAAUCUUUAGGUUGUAACAUUACUAAUCUGAAGUUUGAUGAGAUGUAAUUUUCGAUAUGUAUCUCACGUAUCCCAACGAAACGUAAGCUCAAAUAUAAAAAAUGCUUACGCACGAAAUAAGCGAUAUAAAAUAAACGUCUGCAACAAUGCAAUUGGAAACAGAAGGAUGUACGUGAGCAUUGAUCGUUCAUCAUCCAUCCGGUUUGAUAUCGCGCCGAUGCAAAUGUUCAUUGGAUUUUCGUGUCGAUGACACGUGUUAAUGGAACGUUUAGCUUGGUACACAAUACGGAAGUGCAAAGUGCAGAUGAAGUCGCUGAACUUGCACCUCCUCCUUCGCCAUUCUUAUAAAAGAAACGCUGACCUUUCGUCUUUAAAAAUAUUACCUCAUAUUCCUGGAGUCGUGUUUAUAUUUUCCGCGAAAAAAUUCUGGAUCUAUUUUAUUUCGAGAAAGGUCAUUGAACUCUAAGAAAAUAUACACCACUUGAAUCCAAAUUAUGUUAGAUUAUAACAUAUGACGUAUUCUAUUUUGCAUCCAUCUUCUAAAACUCCUAUUUUUAUAGGUGAAUAUUUGUAUCUUUGUACAUACAUCACUGAUGAUUUAUCGCAUAUCAUUUGAAUAUUAAGAAUUUUCUUUUCCAUAUACAAUGGAUACAAAAAGUAUUUGCAAGUGUCCUUCUUUUUUAUCAGAUUCUACAUACUUCAUGUUCAUAGUAUCAAAUUCUGGUAAUGUGAAAUGAAAAUACUAAAUGAUACCUAAAUUUAAUAUGCUUGAACGUAAUUAAUAUGUAAACGCUAUAAUAGAUGAUGCGAGAACGUUUUUUAUAACCACUGUAGAAUUUAAUUAAUAGAAUUUAACAUAAAUUCUUAUGAAGCAUAAAUCGUCAAAAAUUGGGCACUUCAGGUAUAACCUAAUAAUAAAAUAGCAGCCUAUAUUUUCAUUAACCUAUUUUUCGCAUCUUUAGGGAUAUACAAGAAUUAUGUAACUUGAAGUCCAAUGACAAACAACCUACUUAUGUCAUCACCCUCUUAACCCAGUCCCCUUUUUUCACGCUUACCCUGUCUAUCCUAAACGCAACAAUUCCAUUCUUACGUAUACUACUACGACGUUCGCAAGUCGAGCGUGUCGAUCAGUCUUGUCUACUCGCAGGUAAGCACGAAUACCGGUAAGACCAGGAAGAACGUGGAUGGUAAAUAAGAUGAAGGGAAAAGGUGGAGGCCCUAGGAAGACUCAAAGGUUCACGGCCGGGUGGUUGCUUUAAAUCAGGCAGGUAAGGUGGUUUGACGGGGAAGAGACAUCACUCGCCACGUGGUGGCUCAAGGGUCAUUGUCCUGCGGUCGAGCUUCGUCGAGGUGAAUCGGCUUGAGAACCAGAGAGUCUGCGCAGUAAAAUGAAGCAAGAACCUACACACACGACGAUAUUCAACUUUAUUCAUUCACAGUAUUAUCUUUGAAGAAUCCCCAUUUCAACGAAUAUCUGUCACGUUUGUGAUAUGGAAUUAAAAGAAAAAUCUACGGAGCACUUUCUUCUCACUGAACCGUGAGAUAAGUUAAUCGUAACCGCUUCCAAAUUCUAACGAAGAGUUAACUCUUGCUUUCGUAGCGGGAAUUCCAAGAACUAAACGCCGAAUUCCUAUCCAAUUACGGCGGGCAUUAUCGGCAAGCUACGGAUAGUGGAACAACGCGCGUAGAAAAAGCCAACGUGACUGUAAAUUUUUUUACGAACGUGAGAGAUAGAGAGGGCAGCGGGCUGUGAGUUUCGGCCCUGGCGAGGACGAACAAGCCGAACGAGCGAGCGAACGAGCGUGUAGCACCUGCGGUCGACGACCCUUGCGGUGCUAUCGAAUACCUGCCGACACGAAGCGACGAUCCGCUCGUUUGCUCGCUCGCGAUCGCCUCACUCUUUUGGUGGCCCGUUCAAUACUUCGCUCGUGAAGCCGAUUAAAUCGGAGAAAAAAGCAUACACACAUAUUGAAGUUCGCGAAACGAUGGUGCAGAUCGAUUGAAGACCACACGGGAUAAACGCGAUAAGUUCGUUUUUGUCUACUUCCUGAUUUUUAUGUUACUUCGUCGUUGCAACGAAGUAUUUCAGUACAAUAUACUUGAAAGGCGGAACCGACUUGUUACGUAACACUGGAACAUAUAUGUAAAUUUUACAUAUUAAUAUAAACACAUACAUUACAUAUUAAUAAUAUAUAUUAACUUUAUAUAUUAAUAAUAAAUAUAUAUAUAAACUUUGUAA